rnacentral:ncRNA from 1 species
UGAAAUGCUUAGAUAGGGAAGAGUACAUGAACAAAUCCUUCAGAGAGGAAAACAUUUGCUGAGAGUUUUCUAGGAACCCUGUUAAUGGAAGGUCCCCCUUGAUGCAGCUUCUUUGAACUUUAAGUAGGAGAAGCCGGUUAGAAGCCGUUAUUUAUUUUGAGUGUACAGGAAUGUCUUCCUGUAAAUUAAGGUGGUACCACGGAAAAUAAUCCCUUUUCGUCCUUUGU